GCUAUCAUUACUUUAUAUAUAUAUUGAAUCCCUCCAAACAAUUUGUUUUUGACUCAUCAACUUUUUUCAGAAAAACCUUUUUGCACCUCCUUGACCCUUCUCCCUCCAUCCAUACUUUACAGCAACUUUUGAAGGUCAAAUCCUAUAGCUGCAUUUGAGCAGUCUCUAUGAUUAGAAGGGAAGGGGGCUCUGAACACAGUUAAUGCACUACAGUGAUUAUCUGCAG